GACGAACGCUGGCGGCGUGCUUAACACAUGCAAGUCGAGCGGUAAGGCCCUUUCGGGGGUACACGAGCGGCGAACGGGUGAGUAACACGUGGGUGACCUGCCCUCAGCUCUGGGAUAAGCCUGGGAAACCGGGUCUAAUACCGGAUAUGACUCCAUGACGCAUGUUGUGGGGUGGAAAGCCUUGUGCGGCUGAGGAUGGGCCCGCGGCCUAUCAGCUUGUUGGUGGGGUGAUAGCCUACCAAGGCGACGACGGGUAGCCGGCCUGAGAGGGCGACCGGCCACACUGGGACUGAGACACGGCCCAGACUCCUACGGGAGGCAGCAGUGGGGAAUCUUGCGCAAUGGGCGAAAGCCUGACGCAGCGACGCCGCGUGAGGGAUGACGGCCUGUGU
rnacentral:rRNA from 1 species